ACUUAGUGGCAGACGGGUGAGUAACAUGUAGGUAUCUACCCUAUGUUGAAGAAUAACAUGAGGAAACUUAUGCUAAUACUUCAUAAGUCUUUACGGAGAAAGCUUUAUGCGCCAUUGGAUGAGCCUGCACUUGAUUAGUUUGUUGGUGGGGUAAAGGCCUACCAAGACUGUGAUCAAUAGCUGAUUUGAGAGGAUGAUCAGCCACAUUGGGACUGAGACACGGCCCAAACUCCUACGGGAGGCAGCAGUAGGGAAUCUUGCACAAUGGGGGAAACCCUGAUGCAGCGAUGCCGCGUGAGUGAAGAAGGCCCUUGGGUUGUAAAGCUCUUUCGUCGGGGAAGAAAAUGACUGUACCCGAAUAAGAAGGUCCGGCUAACUUCGUGCCAGCAGCCGCGGUAAUACGAAGGGACCUAGCGUAGUUCGGAAUUACUGGGCUUAAAGAGUUCGUAGGUUGUUAAAAAAGUUGGUGGUGAAAUCCCAGAGCUUAACUCUGGAACUGCCAUCAAAACUUUUUAGCUAGAGUUUGAUAGAGGAAAGCAGAAUUUCUAGUGUAGAGGUGAAAUUCGUAGAUAUUAGAAAGAAUACCAAUUGCGAAGGCAGCUUUCUGGAUCAUAACUGACACUGAGGAACGAAAGCAUGGGUAGCGAAGAGGAUUAGAUACCCUCGUAGUCCAUGCUGUAAACGAUGUGUGUUCGACGUUGGAAAUUUAUUUUCAGUGUCUCAGCGAAAGCAAUAAACACACCGCCUGGGGAGUACGACCGCAAGGUUAAAACUCAAAUGAAUUGACGGGGACCC
rnacentral:rRNA from 1 species